AUGUUUGAGGUGAUUGGGUUUUCCAACAAAGAGUUUGGAGUGGUUUCUACCAUUAGGUCCAAAGUUGAUAAUCUUAUGUGGCAGUUAGUUGUGGUUUAUGGCUCAUCAUACCCUGAAUUUAAACUGGAUUUUAUUGCUAAAUUACAUGAAAUUUUGGGGGUUGUCUCUGAUAUGUCCAUUUUGCAUCAUGAUUUUAUAUCAAUAUUUAUUGCAUUAUGGGCUGUUAUUACACGCUAUGUGACAAUACUUGUGGAUAUUCUCUCUUAUUUUAUAAGGUUUACCAUGAAGAGGGAGAAUGCCUGCAGCUGGGAUUCUGGCUGGAAAAGGAGCAAAUAUUGGAAACCUAUUCUGCACAACUCCAAAAAUCCUAAAACUCCACGGAAGUCAUUUUUGGAAUUAAUAAGAAUUAUUGAGUGA
rnacentral:rRNA from 1 species